rnacentral:rRNA from 1 species
GACGAACGCUGGCGGCGUGCCUAAUACAUGCCAGUUGAGCGAUGAAGCUUGGUGCUUGCCCCAAUUUGAAGAGCAGCGAACGGGUGAGUAACGCGUGGGGAAUCUGCCUUUGAGCGGGGGACAACAUUUGGAAACGAAUGCUAAUACCGCAUAAUAACUUUAAACAUAAGUUUUAAGUUUGAAAGAUGCAAUUGCAUCACUCAAAGAUGAUCCCGCGUUGUAUUAGCUAGUUGGUGAGGUAAAGGCCCACCAAGGCGAUGAUACAUAGCCGACCUGAGAGGGUGAUCGGCCACAUUGGGACUGAGACACGGCCCAAACUCCUACGGGAGGCAGCAGUAGGGAAUCUUCGGCAAUGGACGAAAGUCUGACCGAGCAACGCCGCGUGAGUGAAGAAGGUUUUCGGAUCGUAAAACUCUGUUGGUAGAGAAGAACGUUGGUGAGAGUGGAAAGCUCAUCAAGUGACGGUAACUACCCAGAAAGGGACGGCUAACUACGUG